GCUGGCAAUGGAGGCUCCGGCGGGGCCAGGUGCGCCCGCUGGACGCGCGAGGGCGCCCUCUACAAGAGGCGGGGCGGGCGGCGGCGCGGGGCGCCGGGACUCUGCCCGCGGUCGGCCUCGCCCCUCGGUCUGCGCUGCCUCCCGCGCCUGACACCGUCCUUCACCACACUGUCUACCUGGGAUUCGUGCUUCAGGAAGAAUGGACGGAUGAUGCGCCUGUAGAGCAGCUCAGCGCCAUUGGAAGGGCUUGGGGCCAUACACCACAGCAGGAAGCCACACUGCAGGGAGGAGGACAGAUCAGCGAGAGGCUAAAAUUGCUGUGCUUCAGCCUAAGUCACAGGCUCCUGAGCGCAUCAAGAUGGAAGACGCCCCAAAGAGAAAAGCGGAGGCACGGCAGCCCAGUGCUAGCAAGGUGUCCCGGAGCACAGAUGAGACUGUCGAGGAGGUGCUGCGGCAGCUCUCCCAGAGGAUCUGCCUGCCGCCCAACCCCAAAAUGCAGAAGACUGCAGAGAACACCGAUGUUAUGCUGGGGAAGAUUCUCGCCAUAGUUGAAGAUAAUAGCAGGCGCAUUAAAAGCAUCGAGACUAAAGUGGAAAGUCUUCUAUCUUCAUCUAAGCCUCCUCCAAAGCCGCCAACUCCACGGCUUGAUUUUCUGUCACUGAUGACAUCGACGCUGGCACCUGCAGCCAGCCAUUUUCCACAGCGCACACAAGCAGCUCCAUCACGUCCUGCUGGCGCGUCUGGCCUGCCACCAAGUCACAAGUCUUCCUGAUCUGAAAAGCCAUCGACCAGGUCAUGUACUGCAGCGAACAGAAGGCCUGUAUUUAGGUUCCUGCAGCCUCCACAUAGCCCUCAAACAUGGACACCAAAAUUGUACCAAAGCGAGGAAAAAGCUGUGAAACCCUCUGUGUAUCCCAAAAGGUUGAGAAGGGCUGGACUAGAAGACGAUGCAGCCUGCUUUCUUUUGCAGACCCUCCAUCCCAUGCAAUGCACUGCCAUUCUGUCCGAGCUGUGAUUGCAAGCCAGCCUGCCAGUCACUAUUCCCACCACCCCCCCCCCCCCGGCUACUGAGCAUAGAUCCUAGGUGAUGGGAUGUUUGAUGUUAGGAAAAGAAAGGGAGGGUGAGUGUGGCCACAGGAGAAGGUAGAAGAAAGGUAAGAUGAACCUCAAGGGACUCUCGGGACAGGUGUACAGGAAGACAGUGUGCGUGAACAAGCAGGUGUGCACGUGCCAGCUGCCCUCCCAGGACCCUCUGCCGGUAACAGUGCCAAGAAGGCAGUGCCUCUGGCUACUUCCGUAUGCAUGGGGAGUCCAUGCUGCCUUAGUUUUUCUAGCAACUCGGCUCCAGCCUCUCUGGGUUUGGACAGCAGCAGAUCUCAGUAAACUGAGAUGCUGCCCAGGGAGACCUUGGUUUUCAGAAUGGCACAUUUGCUUUAACACAAAAUUAGAACAAACAGACUGUUUUUGUUUUGUUUUUUACUGGCUGCACCUUCCUUUCCUCUGUUAGUGCCAGGUCAAAGUGGAUGCUACAGACCACCUCCCUGUGAAGACGUUAGCUUUUCAUAUCCCAGCUUCAGGCUGCACUUACAAACGCACGCCCCAACUCAGCAAACACAGGGAAAGUCCUGAGGUACGCUUCUGACAGAACACCACAACUCCUUUUGGGCGUUCUGAAGAGCAUCAGCAGUGCCAAGGCAAACAGCAAGUUUCCCACAACUAUAUUAACUAUUUGAGAGCAGUUAAGUGUUUUUAACAUCUAACAUCCCAUUAUGUCUACUACAUAAAUAUAUAUAUAUAUUUUUUGCUAUGCUUUACAGGAAAUUGGUUGGUAGUUUUUAGUGACAUAUAACACAUUUAAAUUUUUCUCACUUACAAUAAAAGUGCUGGUACAGUGGUAUGUGCUCAGCUACUUGGGAGACGGGGGCCCUGGAGCCCAGGAGUUUGAGACCAGGCUGAGCAUUACAGCAAGCCCCCUUCUCGGAAGGUGGCUCCUGACUGGUGUUUCUCUACAGGAUGCCUGGCUCGCAGGAAUGGAUUAUUCAGACAGUUGGAUGCUCACAUCAGAACCAUAAGCAUCACAGCAAAGUGAAAAUGACUCACUGGAUCAAUAACUGCAAACGGGAGGGUCUGUUUGACUAUUUAACUCAACCUAAGGGUUAAUUUCUCUUCUUUAGGGUUUUAAGAAAGGCACAAUUCAUUAUUUUUGAAGAAAGUAUAUUAGCAGUAGUGUUACCACGUCCAACCCUGUAAAAUAUCUGUGUAGAUGCCUUUAGCAAUCCAUCCAUGCUGAUUAUAUUUUUCUGGAUGAGUUAAAGCAAGACUCCCAGACCGGGCCAGGGUUGGCAUUUACAUCUGUGUACUUUUUCAGUGUGAUUACUCUGGAGGCUACAUGCCAGACUACUAGUCUACUGCUUUCUGGUACCUUCUAGCUAUUGUCUUGAGAUAGUUAAUUACUUAGUAAUUAUUUAAAUUACUGCUUUCUACCUAUAUCCUUAGACAUUUGAAAUCACUUUCUUAUUAAUAAAAUUAAUUAUUGUUCAAUUCUCAA